GGCGCGGCGGUCGCUGCAAA
rnacentral:siRNA from 1 species